AGAACGAACGCUGGCGGCAUGCCUAACACAUGCAAGUCGAACGGGCACCUUCGGGUGCUAGUGGCGCACGGGUGCGUAACGCGUGGGGAUCUGCCCUUAGGUACGGAAUAACAGCUAGAAAUGACUGCUAAUACCGUAUAAUGACUUCGGUCCAAAGAUUUAUCGCCUAGGGAUGAACCCGCGUAGGAUUAGCUU
rnacentral:rRNA from 1 species